UACAGAGGUGCCGAGCGUUAGGCGGAAUCACUGGGCUUAAGGCGUGUGUAGGCGGACCGGUAAGUACCUUGUGAAAUCCCACGGCUCAACCGUGGAACUGCUGGGUAUACUGCCGGUCUUGAGCGACUUAGGGGCAGACGGAACAAGUGGUGGAGCGGUGAAAUGCGUAGAUAUCGGGAGGAACACCAGUGGCGAAAGCGGCUACCUGGCCCAUUCUUGACGCUGAGGCGCGAAAGCUAGGGGAGCAAACGGG
rnacentral:rRNA from 1 species